GCCUUCUUGAGUAAAAAAAAAGCCAAGGCUCGAAAAAAAUAUCGAGCGAAAAAUAGAAAUGAUAAAAGAAUGCUCAAAAGAAUAAGUUGACUUGGUUAGAUGGUCGAAAAAUCUCAUGUUUGGGUGUUGAGCUGUGAGAAAUUUGUACGCAUUGACUGAGAUGUGAAAGAUGUGAUGGAUGUGCUAGUAUUUUAAGAAUGGUGGUAAGCUACUUAACCAUAUAUUAUCCCACCUUUACCAAAAGCCCCGUUACAUCCCAAUGAAUAAGACCUUUUCAUUUAUGCAUCAUAUUGACUUGUGAGCGAUGAAUUUUGCUUGAAUUUGGGAGAAAGAUCUUAUGUGCUUAAAAUAAAGAAUAGCCAGAAGAACUUCUCUUUAGGAAUUAGUAACGAUGGUUUGAGACUCCCAAGACACAACUCGAACUUAUAUUGAAGCAUGGGAUGCCUAGGUCUUAAGGAAUUAGUUCGUGCACAAUUCUUGUUCAAAAGUUUUACCCGCGAGUGAAUUCACGGUCGACCUAAUUUCCCUACUGAUUCGUUGGCGUGACUUGAAGGAGAGGAUUAUCUAAUAUCUUCUGACUGUGCUUUAUUGUCUAACUUGCUCGAGGGCUAGCGAGACUUAAGUUAUGGGGGUGUUUGAUGUGGGUGGGUAAUUGUCUAACUUGUUCCUCGGAGUAUACAAUGGAAUGGAGGGUAGCGUAUUACUGCUCCAAGUCAGUUUUGACCACUUCGAUAUUAAGUUGGUCUUGCUGUGUCCAAAAUCUGAAGAUCACGAUACCAGGAUGUGUGGAAAGAAUUUCUAUUUGAGUCAGAUUAAAGAGCUGUGUGCCAAUCCUAUUGUAUUUGAGGCGACUGAGAUAAUUUCUAGAGCAGUCAUUUCAGCUGGAAUCACAAACAGAGUUGACACCGAUGAAUGGAAUCCUUCCACUGAUACACAUCUUCCUCGAUUGAUAACCUCUCUGGAAAUGUUGUGAUACACCCAAAAUUUUAAUUAUUAUUCCAGCAGUUGUGUUUGUCUACGACAGUUUGAUCAACUAGCACGGGACCAAGUUUUCUAUAGAUUGCAAACUUGAGUUUGCUCGUACUGCUUGCUCAUCUAAAUUCUGCUGCUGGGCUGCGCUGCAAGCAAAACUCGUUCCUUUGUUGAGAGCUCUACUUUACUGUUGAUCAAGUUCCAGAGAUGUCCACUGUUCUUCAAUAACCAUGUUCGAGCCUUGUUUCCAUUCAAUAUACAUCCAAAACAUGUUAUCCCAGCUAGCCAUAUUCUUUCCAAGUCUCUUUUCUCAGCCCUCUUACAAUCACUGCUCUUGAGGGCAUAAAAUCAAACACAGGGGAGAAAGCACUGGUUCUGCUUUCGGAUAGAAGUGUAGUGACAGUUCCCACAGAAGACCUUCUACCAACUAAUCCUCGGAUACUUAACUAAGUUGAUGAUCAUCCACAACUAAGUUAUUUGAGCGUUUAGUUCUUCACAAUCUUCAAUAUAGAUAUUUACAAGAUAAUUUAAAUAGAAUGGCAGGCUCUGGAUUUUUGUCCGUCAAUCCAUUUAAAAAUGUCUAGCUAUAUGGGGAUGAUAAAGAAAGAAGCUUUUGGACACUCCUCAUGCUUAUGCUGUAGCUGAUGCGACAUACAAUGCAAUGAUAGCAGAUGAAGUAAGCCUGGCUAUAAUUAUCAGGUUAGCUGCAGUUUUUGUUAUGAUAUUCUUCCUUACAGCAUGCUGUAGUUUUCUUUGUAAUAAAUAGUGUUUGCGUGAUUAACUUUAUUUACCACUAUUUGUUUGGUACCUGGUUUGAAGUUUAAGCUGAAAGGUUAAGAGAGUGGACGGAAGGGGCACAAAAUGAGGAAAUUGACUGAUAAGAAAGGAGGGAGGUGCAAAAACAAAGAAAAAAAAGAAAGAAAAACAGAAAAAAAGAAAGGAGGUGCAAAAAAGAAAAAGAAAAAAAAGUAAGAUGGAGAUGCAUGCAAAAAUAUAAGAUAAAGCGUUGUUGGUGGAGAUGGAAUCAAGAACUGUUACAAGGGAGAAAAGGAGUUGAUAUAGGUGAGGAAUGAGGCUGACAUAGGGGGGAACAAGAUGAGGAAGUUGCCUGAUAAGAAAGAAGGAGAUGCAAAAAAUAAGAAAGAAAGAAAGAAAGAAGGAGAUGCACACAAAGAAAGAAGAUAAAGAUCUGUUGGAGAGAUGAAAUCAACAACCUCAUGAACUAUUACAAGGGAGAAAAGGAGUUGAAGUAGGAGAGGAAUAGGAUGACAAAGUUCUGAACAUGCAAGGGAAGAAGAGAAAACUGCCAAGUCUAGGACAUGCUCCAGAUCCCAUGACGUGCAGAAGCUGACCAACACAAGGGCAAAUAAAAUCAAACUCAGGGGAGAAAGCUUUGGUUCUAGUUUCGGAUAGAAGUGUAGUGACAGUUCCCACACAAGACCUUCUACCAACCAAUCCUCGGAUACUUUACUAAGUUGAUGAUCUUCCACAACUAAGUUAUUUGAGCGAGCCUUUAGUUCUUCACAAUCUUCAGUAUAGAUAUUUACAAGAUAAUUUAAAUAGAAUGGCAUGCCCUAUAUUAUUGUCAGUCAAUCCAUUUAAAAUAUCCAGCUAUAUGGGGAUGAUAUAGCAAGUAGCUUGCUGAUGCAACAUGCAAUGCAACGAUAGCAGAUGAAGUAAGCCAAGCUAUAAUUAUCAGAUUUAUUUGCUACCACUUGGUUUGGUACUCUGUUUAAGUUAAAGGUGAAAUGGAAAGAGAGUGAAUGGAGGGACAAAAUGAGGAUGUUGGAUGAUAGAAAAGAAAGAGAUGCAAGCAAAGAAAGAAGAAAAAGAGCUGUUGGAGAAGAUGAAAUCAGUAACCUCAAAAACCGUUACAGAGGAUAAAAGGGUUGAAAUAGGAGAGGAAUGAGGCUGACACAGUUUUGGAGAUUCAAGGGAAGACGAGAAAUCAAGACAUGCAAAUGAGAAUGCAUACUUGACAAGGGAAAACUAGUGCCAGCAUUGUGGAGUACCACUAGCUGACAUCACAUGAUCUCUCAUCUACUUAUGAGGGCUUGCGAUAGAGAAUGCAGCUUGAUUUUUUGGGAACCUCAGAUUCUAUCAGAAUUUGUAAAGAAGACUAGAAACAUGCCUUCGAGAAGCUUGCUGCCGUUUUGUGACUGGGAACAUAUCAUUUCUUGUAAUUGAUAAUCAAAAGCACAUCAAGGUUGUUUCUGAUGAAGCCAUUACAAAUGCUGCUGGCUUGAUUGGCUCUAGUGAGCAAGACCUGAUUCUGACAAGAUCAGCCCGGAGGUCACCGAAUGUCUGACACAUGAACAGGCAACCGACACAAGAGAUGCAUUGGCAAUGUUUAUUUAUGUGAGCAUGUUCGACUGGCUUGUGGAGAAGAUAAACUUGUCACUUCCUAGGGGAAAGGUGAUAUGGGGUGUUCAGUAAGGACGCUUGUGGAGAAGAUAAACUUGUCACUUUCCUAGGGGAAAGGUGAUAUGGGGUGUUCAGUAAGGAUCCUUGAUAUGGAUUUGAGUAACUUAAGGUAUACAAUGAUUGAUAUUUUCCACAAUGUAUACUAUGGUGUGUUUUGUCCUAGUUUAAAUAAUCUUAGUUGGAUGGUUGCUUUUUUGCACCUAAAGAAUGGGUUUUUAGUAUGAACUGUUUUGCAUCAAUUAUGCUGACGAGCGGCUCCAACAUCAUUUCGAUCAACAUCUCGUCAAACACGGGCAAGAAGUAAGCAUCACAAAAGUUAUUACAGUUUAUUUCCUUCUGUCUUUCCUUCACAAAAUAGAGCGUGCAAGGAUUACAAUUUGUGAAUUCAUAAGUAAAUCUUUCUGCCUUAAUUAUCUGAAUCAUUAAUGCAUUAAUCAACUUAAUGUUAAUUGUUUUGAUUUCAAAUUGUGCAUUAAAUAUUUUAGCAUAACCCUUAUGAUAUAUGAAUUUUGUUAUUAGUUCUGAUGAAACAUAUUUACAAUCAAAAGAGUAUGAGUUGGAUGAAAUUGACUGGAAAAGGAUUUUGAAGACAACCAAGAUUUUGUAGGUCCUUUUGAGAAGGUAAUCAGGGUUCUUAUUUUUGUAUAGUAGGGUUUUCCUUUAUCACGCAGCUUUUGAUUGACAUAGUUCUAUUUAUGUCUAUGGGUGGGAUGGGGAGAAGGCCACUAAAGCCAUUUUCUGUUAAUCAGUAACACAUUAUCUACUAAUUGUAAUUUUAUUUUUGUCUGACCUUUACUUGCAUUUGUUGAAUAGAUAUGUUUUUAGUAUCGAACAAAUUAUGUCUCUUAACUUAUGGUGUGCUUGAUCAGACAUGUAUUGGAUUUAAUACUUAACAUUUACUUGUAAACUUAAACAUCACUUCAGUACUAACCGUUGGUUUAUGGAACACUUUAUCUUGGGUUAUUUUUGAGCUUUAAUUGUACAAUGCCAAUUUGGCCCACAUCUGUAGAGGAGAGACCAUCUACAGAAUCAGCCCUACCUCAAUUCCUUGGAGAGGAAGUUUUUAAUCCCCAAGUAUAAAAGCAAUGCUCUGCCCUUAUUGAAGGGGACGAGCAACCGGUAAGGAAAACAAAAAUCCUCCUUUUCCCUUUGAAUCUGUGACAGUUACAAUUAGUUAUAUUGAAUUCAUUUUCCACUUUUAAAUGCUUGCUAGCUAGUAGACAACAGAACAAAGCUUUGUCGAUGUUAGCUUUUCUUUUCUCUACCAAAGAAUGGUUGAGUUCUUUUGUCGCCAUGUUGCUAAGAUUCUGUUGUGAUUGCUCCAAUUUGUUAGUUUAGAAUUUCUGUAAGUUUUUUGAGAAGAUCUAUUGAAUUUCCAUGUUUCUGUAUAUUUUUACCAGCCUACCUAUGAUCUACUUGCAUUACUCUCUAUUUUAAGCACAUUAGUUUAGAAUUUUGCUAAGUUUCCUCUGCAUUUUUUUACCCCUUUAUAUAAUGUUUACUACAUGAGUUCUUUUGGAAGUUAGAGUUUGUAUGCUCUUAGAUUAAGUUGACUGAUCUCCAUUUUCUAGCCAUGUUUGUGAAGUUUCCAGCCCAUUGUCUUUCAUGCUUCAACUUUUGUUUAAUGUCCACAGUUUCCUAAAACAUGAUUUCUACUCUCUUUUGAAUCCAAGUUUAUUUAAUUUAGGUUAUAUUCUGUCUUUCAGUGUUCUCUUUCAAGCUUUCCUAAAGUAGGAUGGAAGUCUCGAUUUCCCACACUUAGUUAGAUUCAGUUUACGCUCUUAUUCCUAGUUCUCAUAUUUAAAAUUAUAGUUUCCCGCAUUAGUGUUUAGGUCCACUUUAAUCCUUAAGGAAGUGGUGGCUUACACCAAACCUCAUAUAAGCAACUUCAUUGUUGUUGGGAAUAUGUAAGGUGCUAAAAUAUAGACCUGUAAGCAUUCUUUUUAAUGGUCAAGUUGAACCUUGAAAAGAUAUUAUUUUUGUCUAUUCUUAGUCAUAUUUUUCUGACAUGGCUUUGCUAUUUUGCGCACAUCCAAUGUUAAAUUCUUCAAUUAUGAGCAAUCCUUGAAAAGGUGAGUAUGCAUUUCAAUAUCAGUGAGUUUGUUCCCUAGUCUGCAUAUUUAUGAUUAACUGGAAUUGACAUUAUUCCAUAUUUGACCGGUAAAGAAUUGUUCAGUUGUUCCAAGGAGAGUGGCACUACCACAUUUUCUAUAAGCUCUGCUGUGUUGUCCCUUCUGGUCCCCAAGCCUUAUAGUGAGCAAGACCUGAUGCUUACAAUGUCAGCGCAGAAGGUACGAGCGGGAAAUGAUGAGGUCACCAAAUCUCUGACACUUGAACAAGUUCAUAAUUUCAAAGAUCAAUAUUACUUGCAUAAUGCUUAUUUUCAGGAUGUUUUGAUUGCUAAACCGUCACACUUAUGAUCAACAUGUCAAUUCCACGGGGAAAGAUAACAUGGAGUUAAGGUAUACAAUGAUUAAUAUUUUCCUCAAUAUAUAUAUAUAGUAUGGUGUGAUUUAUCCCAUUGUAAAUAGUCUUUCUUUACCAAUCCACUUUAAUCAAUCUUACUUGUAGUCUUUGAUUGCUUUUUACCACCAGAAGAACAGCAUUUUUUACAUCUGUUACGCUGACGAGCGGCUCCAGAACCAUUUCAAUCAACAUCUCAUGAAAACUUGAGCAAGAACCAAGCAUCACACAUAAAAGCCUUUACAAUUUAUUUCCUUCUGUCUUCCUUCUCAAAAUAGCGCCUGCAAAGAUUACAAUUUGUGAAUUCAUAAGUAAAUUCUUCUGCCUUUAUUAUCUAUAUGAUUAAUAAACUUAAUGCUUACUUCUUUUCUUGCAAAUUGUGCAUCAAAUAUUUUAGCAUAAACUUUCUAAUAUAGGAAUUUUGCUAUUGGUGCUGGCGAAACAUAUUUACAAUCACAAGAGUAUAAGUUAUAUAUAAUAGACUGGAAAAGGGUAGAUUUUGAAAACAACCAAGAUUGUGUGGGAUCUGUGUUCUUAUUAUGGUAUAGUAGGGUUGUCCUUUUCCGAGCAGCAUUUUGACUGGCAUAGUUCUAUUUAUGUCUAUGUGUGCGAUGGGGAGACGGGGCACUAAUGUUAUUUUCUGUUAAUCAAUAACCCAUUAUAUCUGACUUUUACCUUAAUUUGUUGAAUAGAUAUAUUUUAGUAUUGAACAAAUUGUGUUUCCUUACUCUUAUGUUUACAAUGGUUUUCUUGAUCAGACACCUAUUGGAUUCAUAUCUAUAUUGCCAAAGCUACAUAUUUAACAUAUGCUGCUAAACUUCAGCAUCACUUCAGUACUAACCGUUGAUUUAAUGGAGAAACAGGUGGAACAUUCAGCAUUAAACAUCAUGCCGGGAUGGUUAGUGUACUUGUCAUUGUACUUUGUGGAAUAUUUGUACACAACCAAUAAUUUAGCUAAAGCAAGGGAACCUCUAGUAGGUUUGGCAUUUUUCAGUUUACAAAUAGAAUUUUGCUCUCAGCAACUCAUUGUUAGUGUUGACAUAUGGUUUUAGAGUGGGCGCUCUAGGAAUCUGAACAAAUAAAAUCAAACUCAGGGGGAGAAAGCUUUGGUUCUGUUUUUGGACAGAAGUGUUAGUUCAUUUAUUUUUUUCAUCACUUCACUGGUUUUGUUGUAUUCUACAAGAAUUUUGCACUUACUGCAUUAUCACUAUUGGUUGUGACAGUUCCCACAGAAGACCUUCUACCAGCCAUUGAGAAGAUACUUGACGAAGUUGAUGAUCAUGCACAAGCUAAGUUAUUUGAACAAGCCUUCAGUUCUUCACAGUCUUCAGCAUAGAUGUUUACAAUUACUUGCAUAUACCUUAGUUUGUUCUCUUUGUUUGAGGGAAAGCAUACAUCCAGUGUGAGAAGGUUUGGUGAGCCUUAUUUGUGACACUUUAUCUUGGGUUAUUUUGAGCUUUAAUUGUACAAAUACCAACAUAAUUCUCUGAAACUUGUGUAGCAAAUGGAGGAAAAUGAAUUCACUGGAAAAUGGAGUUUGGAAAUAACAGAAAAAUGCUGCAAAAAUGAGCUAAAAGGGAAAAAAUGGGAGUGCUAAUAGAAGAAUGGUUGAAUUCUAUCGUUGCUUGUUGCUAAGAUUCUGUUGUGAUUGCUCCAAUUAGUUAGUUUAGAAUUUCUGAAAGUUUGUUGAGAAGCUCUAUUGAAUUCCACGUUACUGUAUAUUUUUCUAGCCUACCUAUGAUCUACUUGCAUUGCUCUCUGUUUUAACCACAUUAGUUUAUAAUUUGCUAAGUUUCCUGUGAAUGUAUUUACCCCUUCAUAUGAUGUUUAUUACAUACUUCUUUUCGAAGUUGUUAAAAUCAAUUUCUAUGCUCUUAGAUUAAGUUGACUGGUCUCUAUUUUCUAGCAACUUCAUUGCUGCUGGGAAUAUGUGUGGUGCUAAAAUAUAGACAUUCCUUCAAAAGAAUUGUACAGGUUGUUCAUGAAGAGUGGUCCUAUCACAUUUUCUAUAAGCUCUACUUUGUGUCCCUUCCGGUCUCCAAGGUAGGCUGAGUUUAAGAAGUGCUUCUGAACGCAACUAUCUCAGUCCGAGUAAAUGUUUUCUGAUCCAAAACAUUGAUAAUGAACAAAACCUUCAUAAUCUUAUGGUCAAUGACAGGUCUUGAAUAUGCACUGUAUGGUUAGCUACACCCAUUUGUUUUUGUCGUACUCAGUCAUUAUUCAAGCACCCAACCACUUUUGUGUCUGGAGAGCCUUAGAUUCUAUAAAGAUGACCAGGAACGCCUCAAAAUGCUUGCUACAGUUUUGUGGCUGGGAAACAAAAGCACAUCGAGGUUUUUCCUGAUGAAGGUAAAUGCAAUUCUUUUUCCCAAUCCUUUGUAAUUAGUCCUCAUCUUUUCAAAACUUCAGUUUUUGUUGUGUAUUAUAUGGGAGAUAAUUAGUUACAUUGAAGGGAAAUUCUCAUUGGGGGUCUACUAUGGGAAGUUGUAAUUGUACUAGAGGAUUUGCUAGCAUUUCUAAUUUUUCUUUUAUAUAAAGUCGCGUAACAGAAUAAGGCAGUGCAGCUGCGACAGCUGCAACAUAUCAGAUUAGGUUAGAUAGCGUAUUAGGGCAGCGGUGGUGCGACAACGACAUAGCAAAUUCAAAUUAGGAGAAGCGAAUAAAUUGCAUAACCAAAGUAAGACAGAUUCCCAUAUGUGUAGGGGGAGUAGAAACCUAGGGCAACACUUAGAUACAAAAGAUAUUCUACAACAUUAAGAUUAUGUUUAUGCUUACC